rnacentral:rRNA from 1 species
AUACGGAGGGUGCAAGCGUUACUCGGAAUCACUGGGCGUAAAGCGCGCGCAGGCGGCUAUUUAAGUUGGAUGUGAAAGCCUACGGCUCAACCGUAGAACUGCAUCCAAAACUAUUUAGCUAGAGUGUGGGAGAGGAGGAUGGAAUUAGUUGUGUAGGGGUAAAAUCCGUAGAGAUAACUAGGAAUACUAAAAGCGAAGGCAAUCUUCUGGAACACUACUGACGCUGAGGCGCGAAAGCGUGGGGAGCAAACAGGAUUAGAUACCCCUGUAGUCC